AUACGUAGGGUGCGAACGUUAUCCGGAUUUAUUGGGCGUAAAGAGAUGCGUAGGCGUUUCUGUAAGUCUUUAGUUAAAGCCCACGGCUCAACCGUGGAAAAGCUUCGGAUACUGCAGAAAUUGAGACAGGAAGAGGCGAAUAGAAUUCCCAGUGGAGUGGUGAAAUACGUUGAUAUUGGGAAGAAUAUCAGUGGCGAAGGCGAUUCGCUGGUCCUUGUCUGACGCUAAGGCUCGAAAGCGUGGGUAGCAAAACGGAUUAGAUACCCGUGUAGUCCACGCCGUAAACGAUGGAUGCUAGGUGUUCGGUACAACCGUUUUUUCCUUCGGGAAAAGAUGGAAGUAUUGAGUACCACAGCUAACGCGUUAAGCAUCCCGCCUGGGAAGUACGGCCGCAAGGCUAAAACUCAAAUGAAUUGGCGGGGACCCGCACAAGCGGAGGAGCGUGUGGUUUAAUUCGACGGCAAUCGAAGAACCUUACCAGGGUUUGAAAUGUAUCUGCAUGCCCCCAGAAACGGGGGAGGCCUUAGAGGGUGAUACACAGGUGCUGCAUGGCCGCCGUCAGCUCGUGUCGUGAGAUGUAGGGUUAAGUCCCGAAACGAGCGCAACCCCUAUCCUAUGUUACAAGUGUCUUAGGAAACUGCCUCGGUAAAACGAGGAGGAAGGUGGGGAUGACGUCUGGUCCGCAUAGCCCUUAUGUCCUGGGCUACACACGCGCUACAAUGGCCGAUACAACGGGAAGCCAAAUCGUAAGAUGGAGCUAAUCCUUUAAAAUCGGUCUCAGUUCGAAUUGAGGUCUGAAACUCGACCUCACGAAGUUGGAUUCGCUAGUAAUCGUAGAUCAGCAAUGCUACGGUGAAUACGUUCUCGGGUCUUGCACACACCGCCCGUCAGGCCAUGGAAGUAGGUGAUACUCGAAGGCGUCUUACUAUUUAUAGUGGGAUGACGAAGGUAACGCUUAUAACUGGGGUU
rnacentral:rRNA from 2 species